rfam:Gorilla gorilla gorilla genomic chromosome, chr11, whole genome shotgun sequence
CCCGGGCAUGGUGGCAUGAGCCUGCGGUCCCAGCUACUUCGGAGGCUGAGGCAGGAGGGUUGCUCGAGCCUGGGAGUUCUGGGCUGUAGUGUGUUAGGCUGACUGGCUGUCCGCACAUCAAUAUGGUGACCUUCCAGGAGGAGCAGGGGACCACCAAGUUGCCUAAGGAGGGGUGAACCGGUCCAGGUCGGAAACGGAGCAGGUCAAAACUCCUGUGGUGAUCAAAAAGGACAGUUGCAGACAUGGGGAGGACUUGGUAGUCCCAGCUCCAGGCUGGAUCUGGGCGUGCCUUUCCUCUG